rnacentral:rRNA from 1 species
UACGUAGGGGGCUAGCGUUGUCCGGAUUUAUUGGGCGUAAAGAGCGUGUAGGCGGCCAGGUAGGUCCGGUGUGAAAACUCGAGGCUCAACCUCGAGACGCCGGUGGAAACCGUAAAGCUAGAGUCCGGAAGAGGAGAGUGGAAUUCCUGGUGUAGCGGUGAAAUGCGCAGAUAUCAGGAGGAACACCCGUGGCGAAAGCGGCUCUCUGGGACGGUACUGACGCUGAGACGCGAAAGCGUGGGGAGCAAACAGG